GAUAUCACCGCUAAUUAAGUCCUGAUCCCCUGGCUCCACUUGAAACAAACCAAGGAGGGAUCAAGUUUUGCGAGCAGGUGCUAACUGGUUGCAAAAGAGGAGUCCAUCACUUCAGCAAAAGGUUUCACUGUACCUUGGGGAGGACACAGCUUUUCUGAGGAAAGUCAUUACUGGACAGAGCCAUAGGCUCUUAUUUUGUCUUAGGACACGGAGGAGCUUGUAAAAAACAAAAAAACACAAAAAACAAUCCUCCGCUGUGACAAACAACUGUUUUCCUUUCCUGUGUUUUCCCCUUGAUGGCUGAUUUACUUUCUCCUCAGAUGGACAAUGGAGUAAUUUACAGCAAGGAGCAUGACUUCAAAGUCUCAGAUCUCGCAUAGAAAAAGAGCCCGUUCUUCCAUCAAAGAGUCCUUGAGAUGGCCUCUUUGUGAAGCCCAUUCGCCAGCAUGGUGGACACAUCAGGAGGAGCACAGGCAGCCUUUGCUGUUCAGGAAUGUAGGCGAUUAGCCACGGAGCCCUUCUCUGUCUAGCAUCAGGCAUCAGACGCCCAACUAUACAGAGGCCAUUUGAAUGGAACUGCAGAAUAAUCUUCAGAAGAAAAAGCAAGCUCACAUGAGUGGCAGCAGCCCAUUGUGCUGAGUUAAAGACGCUGGAGAGAGUCUGGUUGGCGGUGGGGAGGUGUGGAAAUUGAGUAACAGAAAAAUUAACUUGCCAAGAUAACACAGCUAGUAAAUAGUAGAGCUGUGAUUUGAAGCCAGGCAGUGAACUUCAGAAAUCCUUUCUGUUGAUGUGGGGAGUGGAGGACUCCAGACCCUGCCCAUUUGGCCUUGCCUCGUCUCUUUUUACUCUAGAAAAUGCUGUGGCUCUAUCAAAUACAGCUCAAAAAGCUACUCAUCCAGUUCAACUCUCUCCUUUGAAAGAUGAAGAUAUUGAGACCCAGAGAGGUGGAUACCCUGAGGUGGAGAAGAGACUGAAUAUGCCCACUGCAUCCAAAGCAAGGCUGGAGCUGACUUGAGCUUACUUGGCUUCAUAAAGCUUGAACACCAUAGAUGCUUUUAUAUGUCUUUCCUGUUCGAUUACUCUGGAUAGAGUGUGCUACUCCUAACACAAAGCAAAACCAAACCAAAAAACAAACCUCUCUUUUUCAUUUCCUUAAAGAAAAAAGAAAUUUAAUUUGGAUUCAGAUAAUACCCUUAUAACUUCUAAGGCAGUCAAGCAAGGAGGGGAACAGAUAAUUAGGAGAUGAUGGGAGCCAGCACAAAGCCAAAUGGAAGAAAACAGGCACACAGUAAGGCGGCAAAAGCCACCACCUAAUCCAUUAACAGCCUGCACUAUAAUUACGCUUGGCUCUGGCAUUAAACUGGUGAAAGCACAAAGGAGACACUAUUAAAGUCUUAAUUCCCACAAAAGGAAGCUCAUCCUGUGUAACAGCAAGUACUGUGCACCAAAGCGGCACCUAAAUGAAUAUUAUGGCAAAUUCUAAUUUAGCACUUAGUAGGAGCAUUCCACAAAAUUGCAAAAAUAAAGAGGAAGAAAGCUGAACGUGGUAAUUCAUGCCUGUAGUCCCAGCUACUCAGGAGGCUGAGGCAGGAGGAUUGCCUGAGCCCAAGAGUUUGAGGCUAGCCUGGACAACAUAGCAAGACUUUCAUCUCUACACAAAAUUAUUAGCUGGAUGUGGUGGCAUGUACCUGUAGUACCAGCUGGUCGAGAGGCUGAGACAAGAAGAUUGCUUGAGCCCAGGAGUUCAAAGUCAGCCUGGGCAACAUAGCGAGACCCUGUUUCUCAAAAAUAAUUAGAAAAAUAAAUAAAGGAGAAGAAAAGACUAGGUGGUGUUUCUUUAAAGGCAGUUCUUGCUGUUGCUCUAUGGGUUCACUUUCUCCCCAACCCCCAACCUUCUCAACCUUUCUCCAACCUCUCCAGCCCUCCCCAGCCCUCCCCAGCCUGUGUCUCUGCCCUCCCCAACCCCUCAUCGUCAGAUGGUUUUAAGCAUGUGGCUUCCUGAAAGCUGUGGGUCAGGAGGUAGCAGCAGGCCAAGUCUUCCUCCUUCGGCAGAAGGAGGAGCAGUGUGAGGUGCAAGUGGGCAGAGGCAGAGACUGAAAGUUCUUGAGGAGAACAGGUGUGAGGCCACAGGAAGCUCCACCAGGCACCUGGCUGCACAGUGACUUUUGCAGUGACAGUGCUUCAGCCUCCUUCCACGGGACCGCAGGAUUCAAAAUGGCAUCACCUCCACUUCUGUCAAUACAUCCGCAAGAGGGCUAGCA
rnacentral:lncRNA from 10 species